rnacentral:lncRNA from 1 species
AUGUUGGCCAGACUGGUCUUGAACUCCCGAUCUCAGGUAUUUACGUUCAUUUUAGAAUCCAUGAAUCUAGGCAGAUUUGAGACUGAGCUCUCAUCUCCUUGGCUGCAGCACUGGAGAAAGCUCCUCUUCCUUGGCAAUCCUGGUUGUCACCGGCUUUCUCUGUGGGGGAACUCCUGGUGUUUCGGUAACAAUACAUGGGAUUAGUGUCCUCCCAAAAUGGACCUCAGAGGCUGCUCUGCUCUUUCCACCACAUAAGGACAUAUCUGCACACAAGGAAGUGGGCCUCACCAGACAAGGGAUCUGCCCACACCUGGAUCUUGACCUUUCCAGCCUCCAGAACUCUGAUAAAUGAAUAUCUGUAACUCACAGGCUAUUUGCUUUGAGAUAAGAGACUUAUGCUAAAUAUCUUUUUCUCUUCACCUCUGCCUCACUGGCCUUGCUAGAGCUUAAAAUACCCAUAAACAAUGGCAAGGCAGGUUAAUGGAACAUACCCUAUAUGGAAAUUCCAUGUUGACAAUGUAUGUAUAUUAACUCAUAGAAUCCAGUCCACAUUUUAAUCCUAUGAAGUGAGCACCAAGAUGCAAAAGAGUUAAAUAAACUGCCCGAAGUCACUCAGCUAACAGAAAAGAGCCAGAUACCCAACCCAACUUAGGAAAACUACAACACUAGAUACCCCUCCUUUUGUAUUAGGGCACUGAAGGUUCCUAAUCAAAUGCAAGGAAUCCACAGGAAGGGAAGAAGACCAGAACUCCUAGUGCACAUGCUGGGUUCAGGCACAGUGCAGUAGGUAACAGGGGUGCCUGACACACUGGUCCCAUCAGGCUUGUGGUGGCCAGGGAGGCCUGGGUAGCAGAAGCCCAAGAAGACUGCCUGAGACCUUAGUGACCUGUGUGUUACCCCAGUAUGCCAGAACAACAACUGUCAUUUUCUACAUCUGCUGUCUUGUGAAGAAUGGUAACACAGGCUGGCUAAGCCAUCAUCAGACAUUAAGAAUUUAGUAUAAAUUAACUUGUUGAAUUAGGUAUUCCCCCACCCAGACCCACUAAGCAGGUCAGGAAAGAAUCAGUGAAAGGAUAAGGAAAAGGCAAGUGUAGAGGGUGGAAGGGGCAGACUGAAGUGGGGUACCAGGAAACAUGGAGUUGGGGGAGGAGGCUGAGGAAGAGCACAGAAGAAAUGGGGUUCCUCAGUGAGUACCCUAGACUGACUGAGGCCCAGCCUGGUCUGCCACUACACACAGGAACCUUGCACUGCACACAUGAACCGUCCACUAUACACAUGAACCUUGCACUGCACACAUGAACUGUCCACUAUACACAUGAACCUUGCACUGCACACAUGAACUGUCCACUAUACACAUGAACCUUGCACUGCACACAUGAACCGUCCACUAUACACAGGAACCUUGCACUGCACACAUGAACCGUCCACUAUACACAGGAACCUUGCACUGCACACAUGAACCGUCCACUAUACACAGGAACCUUGCACUGCACACAUGAACUGUCCACUAUACACAUGAACCUUGCACUGCACACAUGAACCUUGCACUGCACACAUGAACCAUCCACUAUACACAUGAACCUUGCACCGCAUACAUAAACCAUCCACUAUACACAUGAACCUUGCACUGCACACAUGAACUGUCCACUAUACACAGGAACCUUGCACUGUACACAUGAACCGUCCACUAUACACAGGAACCUUGCACUGCACACAUGAACCAUCCACUAUACACAUGAACCUUGCACCGCAUACAUAAACCAUCCACUAUACACAUGAACCUUGCACUGCACACAUGAACCAUCCACUAUACACAUGAACCUUGCACCGCAUACAUAAACCAUCCACUAUACACAUGAACCUUGCACUGCACACAUGAACCAUCCACUAUACACAGGAACCUUGCACUGCACACAUGAACUGUCCACUAUACACAUGAACCUUGCACUGUACACAUGAACCGUCCACUAUACACAUGAACCUUGCACUGCACACACGAACCGUCCACCAUGCACAGAAACCUUGCACUGCACACAUGAACCGUCCGCUAUACACGUGACCCUUGCACUGCACACAUGAACCGUCCACUAUACACGUGACCCUUGCACUGCACACAUGAACCGCCCACUAUGCACGUGAACCUUGCACUGCAGACAUGAACCGUCCACUAUACAUGUGAACCUUACACUGCACACAUGAACCGUCCACUAUACAUGUGAACCUUGCACUGCACACAUGAACCGUCCACUAUACACAUGAACCUUGCACUGCACACAUGAACCAUCCACUAUACACAUGAACCUUGCACUGCACACAUGAACCAUCCACUAUACACAUGAACCUUGCACUGCACACAUGAACCUUGCACUGCACACAUGAACCAUCCACUAUACACAUGAACCUUGCACUGCACACAUGAACCUUGCACUGCACACAUGAACCAUCCACUAUACACAUGAACCUUGCACUGCACACAUGAACCUUGCACUGCACACAUGAACCAUCCACUAUACACAUGAACCUUGCACCGCAUACAUAAACCAUCCACUAUACACAUGAACCUUGCACUGCACACAUGAACUGUCCACUAUACACGUGAACCUUGCACUGCACACAUGAACCGCCCACUAUGCACGUGAACCUUGCACUGCACACAUGAACCGUCCACUAUACACGUGACCCUUGCACUGCACACAUGAACCGUCCACUAUGCACGUGAACCUUGCACUGCACACAUGAACUGUCCACUAUACACGUGACCCUUGCACUGCACACACGAACCGUCCACCAUGCACAGAAACCUUGCACUGCACACAUGAACCGUCCGCUAUACACGUGACCCUUGCACUGCACACAUGAACCGUCCACUAUACACGUGACCCUUGCACUGCACACAUGAACCGCCCACUAUGCACGUGAAUGUUGCACUGCACACAAGAACCAUCCACUAUGCACGUGAACCUUGCACUGCAGACAUGAACCGUCCACUAUACAUGUGAACCUUGCACUGCACACAUGAACCGUCCACUAUACAUGUGAACCUUGCACUGCACACAUGAACCGUCCACUAUACACAUGAACCAUCCACUAUACACAUGAACCAUCUAGUCAUCCUUAUCUGAAACCCAGGGUUGUGUGAGACAUGGCAUGAGGUAAACUCCAACUGGUUUCUUGUAACUGGAAGUUGUGAAUUUGAUAAUUCUCAGAAGAUCUGAAAGGUAAACAAGAGAUGAAUUAAGGGGAAGAAGUUUCCUCUGUUUUGCUAAUACUUUUGGAUUGCUUAUACAUGUAGAGGAGAAUUAUUAUAAGAAGCAUAUAUAUAUAUAUAUAAAGUAUAUAUAUAUUUACAUAUAUAAAGUGUAUAUAUAUAUUUAUAUAUAUAAAGUGUAUAUAAAGUGUAUAUAUAUUUACAUAUAUAAAGUGUAUAUAUAUUUAUAUACAUAUAAAGUGUAUA